UUGUCUUAAUAGGAUGGAGAUACAGCUCUUACUGCAGCAGUAAAAGAAGGACAUUAUGACAUUGUGCUCCUACUAUUAACUAAUAAAGCUGAUCCAAACUUAAAUGAACCACUCAUUAUGGCAGCAAGUAAAGGACAUCAUGAUAUUCUGUUUUUAUUGCUCUCUAAAGGAGCUGAUCCUGACACUGUAGAUAAGUCUGGUCGAACUGCUAUUGGUGAAGCUAUGAAUCAUGAUCAUA